rnacentral:rRNA from 1 species
AUUGAACGCUGGCGGCAGGCCUAACACAUGCAAGUCGAACGGUAGCACAGAGAGCUUGCUCUCAGGUGACGAGUGGCGGACGGGUGAGUAAUGUCUGGGAAACUGCCCGAUGGAGGGGGAUAACUACUGGAAACGGUAGCUAAUACCGCAUAACGUCGCAAGACCAAAGUGGGGGACCUUCGGGCCUCACACCAUCGGAUGUGCCCAGAUGGGAUUAGCUAGUAGGUGGGAUAAUGGCUCACCUAGGCGACGAUCCCUAGCUGGUCUGAGAGGAUGACCGGCCACACUGGAACUGAGACACGGUCCAGAGUCCUACGGGAGGCAGCAGUGGGGAAUAUUGCACACUGGGCGCAAGCCUGAUUCAGCCAUGCCGCGUGUAUGAAGAAGGCCUUCGGGUUGUAAAGUACUUUCAGCGGGGAGGAAGGCGGUGAAGUUAAUAGCUUCACCGAUUGACGUUACCCGCAGAAGAAGCACCGGCUAACUCCGUGCCAGCAGCCGCCGUAA